AACGAACGCUGGCAGCAUGCCUAACACAUGCGAGUCGAACGAGACCUUCGGGUCUAGUGGCGCACGGGUGCGUAACGCGUGGGAACCUGCCCUUAGGUUCGGAAUAACUCCCCGAAAGGGGUGCUAAUACCGGAUAAUGUCUUCGGACCAAAGAUUUAUCGCCUUUGGAUGGGCCCGCGUUGGAUUAGCUAGUUGGUAGGGUAAAAGCCUACCAAGGCGACGAUCCAUAGCUGGUCUGAGAGGAUGAUCAGCCACACUGGGACUGAGACACGGCCCAGACUCCUACGGGAGGCAGCAGUGGGGAAUAUUGGACAAUGGGCGAAAGCCUGAUCCAGCAAUGCCGCGUGAGUGAUGAAGGCCUUAGGGUUGUAAAGCUCUUUUACCCGGGAUGAUAAUGACAGUACCGGGAGAAUAAGCUCCGGCUAACUCCGUG
rnacentral:rRNA from 1 species